AUUUUUUAAGUUUACCGGUAAGAUAAAAUACAUAGCCUAUAUUUCAACUACAGUUUGUCAACUAUAACAAAUGAAGAAGAUGACGAAUUGCUGGUGGUUGUUGUUUGUUGUUGGGAUAAAUUUGGUAAACCUUGACAAUAGUAGAAGCGUCACUAAACGAGAAGACAAAGUUUUAUGGCAGUUAGAUAAAUAUAAUAACUUUGAUACGUUAUACCAUUUUAAACCUCUAGAGGUGGGAUAUUAUAACCAUGGGUCCCUUUCAAGCAUGUCGGAUCCCACCGACGACGACAGGAGGGUUAUCAGAAUCUUCUACAUGAAGGGAUCUUAUUCCCAGACAAAGGGAUACCGAGGAGCCCAGUUUUACAGCACCCCUACUUCUCCACAGACGUCUAUGAAAUUCUCCUAUGAGAUUUACUUCAACGAUGGGUUUGAUUUUGUCAAGGGUGGUAUGCUCCCUGGACUGGCUGGAGGGGAGCUCGCUCAUUGCUCCGGUGGACGUCAUUCCGACACCUGCUUCUCGUCGAGAUUCAUGUGGCGGGAACAUGGUGACGGUGAAGUAUAUGCGUACAUACCGCAGGAAUCGAGCCAUUUCUGUGCUCGCAACGAUGUCAUCUGCUCCUCUAGCCACCAGGCUGUUUCCCUGGGUCGUGGGAGUUUCAGAUUUAAAAGUGGAAAAUGGAUGAAGAUAAGUCAAUAUGUUGGGUUAAAUGAUGUUGGUAAAGAUAAUGGUUUCCUGCAGAUCUGGUUGGAUGAUAACCUGGUUUACACGGGGCAUGACAUCACGUGGAGAACUAAAGAUGAAGUUAAAAUCAGUAGCAUCUUCUUCUCGACGUUCUUCGGUGGAGCUUCGUCUGAUUAUGCGGCUACUGAGGAUACCUACACUUAUUUCAGAAAUUUUGUUUUAUCCACCGGUUCUGAUUCCCCAGUCGUGGGUUAAAUAUUUCUGAAAUAAAAUAAUCCCAUACAAA